GAUGAACGCUGGCGGUCUGCUUAACACAUGCAAGUCGAACGAACUCUUCGGAGUGAGUGGCGGACGGGUGAGUAACGCGUGAGAAUCUGCCUGUGGGUCGGGACAACCACUGGAAACGGUGGCUAAUACCGGAUGAGCCGAAAGGUAAAAGAUUUAUUGCCCACAGAUGAGCUACGCGGUCUGGAUUAGCUAGUUGGUAAGGUAAAAGCGUACCAAGGCGACGAUCAGUAGCUGGUCUGAGAGGAUGAGCAGCCACACUGGGACUGAGACACGGCCCAGACUCCUACGGGAGCAGCAGUGGGAAUCUUAG
rnacentral:rRNA from 1 species